rnacentral:rRNA from 1 species
CCAAUAGCGUAUAUUAAAGUUGUUGCAGUUAAAAAGCUCGUAGUUGAAUCUCGGGGUUAGUAGGUUGGUCAUGCCACUGGUAUGUACUGGUCUCACUGAUUCCUCCUUCCUGAUGAGCCGUAAUGCCAUUAAUUUGGUGUUGCGAGGAAUCUGGACUGUUACUUUGAAAAAAUUAGAGUGUUUAAAGCAGGCUAACGCUUGAAUACAUUAGCAUGGAAUAAUGAAAUAGGACGUUCGAUCUUAUUUUGUUGGUUUCUAAGAUUGACGUAAUGAUUAAUAGGGAUAGUUGGGGGCAUUAGUAUUCAAUUGUCAGAGGUGAAAUUCUUGGAUUUAUUGAAGACUAACUACUGCGAAAGCAUUUGCCAAGGAUGUUUUCAUUAAUCAAGAACGAAAGUUAGGGGAUCGAAGACGAUCAGAUACCGUCGUAGUCUUAACCAUAAACUAUGCCGACUAGGGAUCGGAUGAUGUUAAUUUUUUAAUGACUCAUUCGGCGCCUUACG